rnacentral:rRNA from 1 species
CCAACAGGGAUUGCCCCAGUAACGGCGAGUGAAGCGGCAGGAGCUCAAAUUUGAAAUCUGGGGCCCCCGGCCUCCGAGUUGUAAUUUGGAGAGGCUCCUUCUGGGGGGAGCGCCGGCCCAUGUUCCUUGGAACAGGACGUCGCAGAGGGUGAGAAUCCCGUGCCAGGCCGGCUGCCUCCUCCCGCGUGAAGGGCCUUCGACGAGUCGAGUUGUUUGGGAAUGCAGCUCCAAGUGGGUGGUAAAUUUCAUCUAAAGCUAAAUACCGGCGGGAGACCGAUAGCGCACAAGUAGAGUGAUCGAAAGAUGAAAAGCACUUUGAAAAUAGAGUCAAAAAGUACGUGAAAUUGUUGAAAGGGAAGCGCUUGAGACCAGACUCAGACCCAGGCAAACACCGCGCCCCCAGGGGCCGUGCAAUUGCCCGGUGCUGGGCCAGCAUCAGUUGGCGUGGCGGGACAAGGGCGCGGGAAAUGUGGCUCCCCUCGGGGAGUGUUAUCAGGCCCGCGCCGGAUGCCGCCGACGCCGACUGAGGA